AUUGAACGCUGGCGGCAUGCCUUACACAUGCAAGUCGAACGGCAGCACGGGAGCAAUCCUGGUGGCGAGUGGCGAACGGGUGAGUAAAGUAUCGGAACGUGCCCAGUCGUGGGGGAUAACGUAGCGAAAGUUACGCUAAUACCGCAUACGAUCUAUGGAUGAAAGCGGGGGGUCGCAAGACCUCGCGCGAUUGGAGCGGCCGAUAUCAGAUUAGGUAGUUGGUGGGGUAAAGGCUCACCAAGCCGACGAUCUGUAGCUGGUCUGAGAGGACGACCAGCGACACGGGGACUGAGACACGGCCCAGACUCCUACGGGAGGCAGCAGUGGGGAAUUUUGGACAAUGGGCGCAAGCCUGAUCCAGCCAUGCCGCGUGCAGGAUGAAGGCCUUCGGGUUGUAAACUGCUUUUGUACGGAACGAAAAGGUUUGACUUAAUACGUUGGACUCAUGACGGUACCGUAAGAAUAAGCACCGGCUAACUACGUGCCAGCAGCCGCGGUAA
rnacentral:rRNA from 1 species